CAAGCACAGAGUGACACUAUCUAGUGAGUAUCAACACUCUGCCUUCUGUACAAAGACUAGGCUAGAAGGGGAGGGGACAUUUGGAAGACCAUGGAAAUAGUUCACUCUAUUGAUUUUGUUAAGACUCCCAUUCCCUUCGAGAGAUGACGAUUGGAGUGCAGAGGGAGAUGAGGUACCCAUUUGGUUAUUAAUUGGUAGAAUCCUGAACAGUGAAUUACAUUAGUGAACAAUUGACCCAAUUAGAUGGCAAGAUGAUGAGUAUACCGAAUGGCUAAUGACUAGUGUAUUACAACUGUCUUAAUUGAUUAGAGUAAGUCAGCUGAUCAACAAUUUGCUCUGUUGCCUU
rnacentral:lncRNA from 1 species